rnacentral:rRNA from 1 species
UACGUAGGGUGCGAGCGUUGUCCGGAAUUAUUGGGCGUAAAGAGCUCGUAGGCGGUUUGUCACGUCUGCUGUGAAAACUCGGGGCUUAACUCCGGGCCUGCAGUGGGUACGGGCUGACUAGAGUGCGGUAGGGGAGACUGGAAUUCCUGGUGUAGCGGUGAAAUGCGCAGAUAUCAGGAGGAACACCGGUGGCGAAGGCGGGUCUCUGGGCCGUAACUGACGCUGAGGAGCGAAAGCGUGGGGAGCGAACAGG